GUUUUUCAGCUGAUUUAGUGUUCUGAGAGGUCCUAACACAUCUUCUAUCUUUUGUCAGCUUUGGAAGCACUUACUUAGCCUAUAUCAGGAUGACUCAAAACAACAUCAGUGUUUGUCUCUGGAGUGAAAAGAAAUAAUGUGCUUUGUUCUGCUGCUUCCUAUUCAAAGAUUUUGGAGAUGGAGAGAAACUCCAUGCUGGAUAACUUGACGUAUCUCUCAUAGUGGAGUUGUACUUCAAAAGAUGUCACCAUGAUGAAGCCCUUGAUGGAUUCCUGGGUGAGUCCCACAUGGUGGUGAUGGAUUGCUGCUCUGUGCUGCUGCACGCUCCAGCUGUCUCCAUGGUUCAGUCUGCUGGAUUGACAGAGCCCAUAAAUCACUCUGGAAGAGGAAUCGCACUGGGAAGCAGAAGUUGCUGUAGAGGUGAAAGGUUCUGCAACUGACUC
rnacentral:lncRNA from 1 species